ensembl:lncRNA
UGAAGGUUCGGGGCAGGAAGAGGGAGCUGUGGCCCCUUGGGCCAGCUCUCAGGCACAGGGACUGCUCCACUGUCCUCCGGGUCAGGGCCUCUGUCCUGAGGCCUGUUCCCUUCUUCUCAGGCCGCCAGGCUCUGUGCGCCCCGCCCUGCACUCCUCCCUCGCAGGGAGGAGGAACAAAGCGCACAGCCCCAGCUCUGAGCCCGGCCAGGCAUCAGGCUCAUCUGGCCGCCAGCUUUGGCCCCAACUGCGGCGUCCCUGGGAGAGGCAGCGCCAUCCUUAGGGGGCCCUGUCCUGUUUCGGGUGCCGUCCCGGCCUGGUGGUAUGGAUUUCUGCUGUAAACACAGCCCAUAUGGGAGAAGCCCAGGUGCCUCGAUCCAUGCUCUCCGAAACUUAAAGCUCAGAAGGCUUUGAAAUGCAAAUAUUUUGAAGGAAACAUAAGUCUAGGAAAAUCAGCCACAACAAAGAAAUCAAGCCCUGACCUGCAGCAUUUGUCCUGGGCCACAGUGACCACCAAACACAGAGCUUGGAAGGGAUGCCCGGUAGCCACCAUGGGACAACAUUUCCACCACGAAGACACAAUGGGUGGGAUCCACUCCAGAGCAUAGAAGACAAUGGAACACAGGGAGAUAAUUGGGAAGUGAUGACUUUUGGGUAUUUAUUGCUUUUGUUUCCAGUAUAAUUUAACAGUGAAUUUAUGUAAUUUAAUUUUUUAAAUAAUAGCCAUAUUUAACAUCCAGUUUGUGAAAUUCCCGAAAAUAUAACAACUGGCCCUUUUGAGCUCUUAGGAGCUGGUCCCAGGG